rnacentral:misc_RNA from 1 species
UUCCGUAGGUGAACCUGCGGAAGGAUCAUUACCGAGUGCGGGUCCUUUGGGCCCAACCUCCCAUCCGUGUCUAUUGUACCCUGUUGCUUCGGCGGGCCCGCCGCUUGUCGGCCGCCGGGGGGGCGCCUCUGCCCCCCGGGCCCGUGCCCGCCGGAGACCCCAACACGAACACUGUCUGAAAGCGUGCAGUCUGAGUUGAUUGAAUGCAAUCAGUUAAAACUUUCAACAAUGGAUCUCUUGGUUCCGGCAUCGAUGAAGAACGCAGCGAAAUGCGAUAACUAAUGUGAAUUGCAGAAUUCAGUGAAUCAUCGAGUCUUUGAACGCACAUUGCGCCCCCUGGUAUUCCGGGGGGCAUGCCUGUCCGAGCGUCAUUGCUGCCCUCAAGCCCGGCUUGUGUGUUGGGUCGCCGUCCCCCUCUCCGGGGGGACGGGCCCGAAAGGCAGCGGCGGCACCGCGUCCGAUCCUCGAGCGUAUGGGGCUUUGUCACAUGCUCUGUAGGAUUGGCCGGCGCCUGCCGACGUUUUCCAACCAUUCUUUCCAGGUUGACCUCGGAUCAGGUAGGGAUACCCGCUGAACUUAAGCAUAUCAAUAAAGCGGAGGA